rnacentral:misc_RNA from 1 species
GAAAACGCGUCCAGGCGAAUUUGAAGCUUCUAAGAAGGAGGGAAAGCAAUAAUGGAAACGCUCGAGUUGACUCAGAAAUAACCCGAAGCCAACACCAUAAAAGGAAAAACCCACCCUUGAUUUCUUUAUUUGUUUUGGACCUCUGUUUCUUUCACUCUGGCCAUUCUCUUUCCAGGAACGUUCUUUAACUUGUGCGAAACCUGAAGUUAACCAUGGUUACUU